ACGACACUGACUAGUCCCUGCGGCACUUGUCUCGUGCUCAUGGGGAACAUCACGUGAUGCAAAUCCACUCUCGAAUGCAACAGUGUGCACUUGCGCAUGCACCGGACAGCGUACAACGCCCUCGCCUAGUGAAUGGCACAGCGGACGCUCGUGACCCUAGGCCAGAGUACCCGGGCGAGGAGACGGUCAACGGUAUCCCCAAGAGUCUCCUGUACCUGCCCACAGUGCGUCUACCGAGCGAUAACGCAAGCUGUGCAGCGCGAGAGGGCAAUCGUCUCAGGGAGCGCGCUAGUACGCAAACAGAAACACCUGAUAGAGCCCACGCAGUCUGCGCUGCGACGAGCGCAUUGAUAUUGUAUACAACGAGAAUGAGCACGGCAAGCGAAGCGUAGACUGCGACUCCUGCCAGUCCGUACCCGGUGCGCUGGCUAACGCAGGAAGCACCCAUAUCGGGACGUUUGUUUGUAUCGGAGCAUUCUGCGACUGCUUGCGACGGCGCCGGAUGGACACUAGAUACGCCCGUAUGUGAAGCGGAUUGUCCAAGACUGCAAAAAAGAGCAGCCAGGGGGCGUAUCGUGAAAUGAGUGGUGUUGGUGUAACAACAACGACAAGAUACCCAGAUAUUACAGCGUACGCAAGAGUCAGCAAAGUGGAUCCAUACUUUUUCACGUUGACCUGAGUUUACUGCAUGAUACGACCUGCGUACACUGGACACCACUUCCCGAGGCGUGCACCGCGUGAAGAAACCUCGAUCUGGUGCGCGGAGAGCAGGAUAGUCCUCAGGGCAUUGCCGCAACCAAUGUGCAGCUUCCGGCGGAACAAUCGACCAGGCCCCGCCGUUGCAGCACAGUCACGAAGUACGCAAUCCCACAUGACAUUUACGGGAUGCCCCUCCAUCUAUCAACGAUGCAGUGACGAAGAGCAUUGGCUCACGGAAAGCUCGCAAGCGGCCUCUCGCCAGCCUCUGAGCACUGAUGCGCAGCACCUCCUACAUCCUCAGUGCUGGUGGUACGCGAAUCCCGCGAACAGGUCUGUGCGUACCAGCAACAGCAGUGCGAGGGUCGCACAGGCCGUGUCAGAAACCGGGGACACAGCACGCACGCCCAGGGCGUCUUCUUUUGCGCAUAGCAGUCCAAGCCCGUUCACGAACCUGUAGAUUCAAUCCAUGAAUGAUCACGGUUUAGGAACCGUUCAGGAGCCGAUCCAAAGCGGCCGCUACGUUUCCCCCGGUCGCACGCAACGCCGCGAUACAGGCAUCUGUAUCGAAGAAACCCAUUUCCCGCAUCUGUUGCAACUGGGUCGCAAAAUGUUGCUCCAAUUGUUCACGCGUCAUCUGAGCCGUCGGAUCUGUAAAUGUCGCACCACGGGUUUGCCGUGGUCCACCAGCUGUUGCCGAAGCCAUGGGUUGCGGUGUCGUUGCAAUCGCCGGGUCGUACCCGCUCUGGAGCAACGCCUGGUGAAUCGCCCGUCGAAAGCGCAGUUGUGCCUCCUGCAUCGCAAGCGUGGACUCGAAAAAUUCUCUCGUAAAGAGAUU